rnacentral:rRNA from 1 species
CCCGAGGCGGCGCUUAUCUGCAGUCGAGCGAGAACCAGAGCUUCGGCUCUGGGGACAGCGGCGAACGGGUGAGUAACACGUGAGUAAUCUGCCCUCGGCACCGGGAUAGCCCGGGGAAACCCGGAUUAAUACCGGAUGGCCUCUCGAGCCCUCGGGCUCGUGAGAAAAGGUAGCUUCGGCCUCUGGCCGAGGAGGAGCUCGCGGCGGAUUAGCUUGUUGGUGGGGUAACGGCUCACCAAGGCGACGAUCCGUAGCUGGUCUGAGAGGACGAUCAGCCACACUGGGACUGAGACACGGCCCAGACUCCUACGGGAGGCAGCAGUAGGGAAUCUUGCGCAAUGGGCGAAAGCCUGACGCAGCGACGCCGCGUGCGGGAAGAAGGCCUUCGGGUUGUAAACCGCUUUCAGGAGGGACGAAGCCACUCGGGUUAAUAGCCCAGAGGGUGACGGUACCUCCAGAAGAAGCCCCGGCUAACUACGUGCCAGCAGCCGCGGUAAUACGUAGGGGGCAAGCGUUGUCCGGAUUCAUUGGGCGUAAAGAGCGUGUAGGCGGCCAGGUAGGUCCGUUGUGAAAACUCGAGGCUCAACCUCGAGACGUCGAUGGAAACCAUCUGGCUAGAGUCCGGAAGAGGAGAGUGGAAUUCCUGGUGUAGCGGUGAAAUGCGCAGAUAUCAGGAAGAACACCUAUGGCGAAGGCAGCUCUCUGGGACGGUACUGACGCUGAGACGCGAAAGCGUGGGGAGCGAACAGGAUUAGAUACCCUGGUAGUCCACGCCGUANACGAUGGGAACUAGGUGUGGGCGGUGUCGACUCCGUCCGUGCCGAAGCUAACGCAUUAAGUUCCCCGCCUGG